AUCGCUUCUCGGCCUUUUGGCUAAGAUUAAGUGUAGUAUCUGUUCUUAUCAGUUUAAUAUAUUAAUAGGGGCUUGCUCCAUCCACUCCACGCAUCGACUCGGUAUUGCAGUACUUCCGGGAGCGGUGCAUCCCCA
rnacentral:snRNA from 1 species